UUUUGAAGGUUCCUUGGUGAUAAGGGGGAGAUAGUGUUGUAGUUUCAAAGAGUGGUGCAUUAGCUAUCCACUUGAUUUUGGAGAAGUUCUUAUCACCAUAGAUCGUCUUUAGUGAUAAUUAAGGAUAAAGCGUAGUAGUGCAGGUGUUUCACCAACUAUAUUGGUUCUAUUAUUUUUCCUAUAAAUUUGGUUAUGAUUUUAAUAGGCUUUUAUCUACUUUUUUCAAUUGACAAACACACAUUCACUUUUGAAGAGACAAUUUUUCAUAUGUAAGAAUCUUUGGUAUUUAUUAGGACUUGCUAAAAAAUUCGUAGGUGGUUUAGAUCAAGGUAGCACUGGGAAGAAGCAAUCAAGUAAGUACUUUAUUUUAUUAUCAUGAUUUUUUUUCUUGCUAUUUUUAUAAUUCUUAUAUAAUUAUGUUUUUUUUUUGUGUGUGUAGGUACUUGCAAUUAUGUUUUUACCUCUUUUCGGGUAAUCUUAUUUAUUAAAAUAAAAAAAGUGAGUCAAUUUAUGGAGUUUUAUGUCAUUGUUAAGAUGAUCAAAUACAUACACAUACCUACUNNNNNNNNNNNNNNNNNNNNNNNNNNNNNNNNNNNNNNNNNNNNNNNNNNNNNNNNNNNNNNNNNNNNNNNNNNNNNNNNNNNNNNNNNNNNNNNNNNNNAAGAGUCAAAGAUUGCUAGAUUUGUGAGUGGAAUUAAGAGAAAUUCAAAAUGUUUUAUAACUUAAUGAUUAUACAUCUUUGGAAAAAUUGGUUCACCUAGCCAUCAAAGUUGAAUCACAACUUUUUAAGAAAACAUCUUUCAAACAUAUUUAUAAUGAUGGCUUUUAUGACUCAUCUUGGAAGGGUAAAAAUAAAUUUUCAAAACAUGAAUGGUUUAUAUUUUGUAGACUUUGAACAAAACACUUUUUAUUUCAAACAUAUCUUAUAAGCAUACUGGUGAAGUACAUCUCCUCAACAAUUGUGACAACUUCAUAUUUUCGUAAUCAUCCUCAUCGCAGGAAUCCUCAAUAUUAUAGUCUGCAUGGUCAUCUUCGGAGUAAGAAUAUUAACCAUCACAACUCAAUUCAUCAUUUGGUUAUUUACCCUUUUUCUCUGGCUUUUUCAAUCACUACCCAAAGAUUUUGAACACAUUGGUGAACUCAGAACCGAAAAAAGUGAUUGUGAGUUAAUUGAUUUUUUAGAGUCCUUGACAGGGUAUGGUUUGAUGAGUAAGAGGAAGAGCAUAAAUAACUAAGUGAUUGACCAAAUUGUGAUCGUGAAUCAUUAUCACUAUGAAGAUGACCAUGUGAACUUUGGCAUCGAGGAUUCUUGAGAUGAGAAUGAUCACGACAAUCUCAAGUGUAGAAAUAGUUAAGGAAUAAUAUGUACACUAGUAAUGCGUAUAAGAUACAUUGUGUUUUAAUUUUUUGCCCAUUUGAAAAUACAAGUUUAUAAUAUUGUUUUAGAUAUAUUGCUAAAGGUAUUAGUCAUGCCAAUUUGGGAAUUAUACUUAUUGAAUGAGUUUAUUUUGGGAAUCAUUUCAAUUGGGGAGAUUCUACUAAUUGCAUUUGGGAGCUUGGUAAAGAGACAAAAAAAAAUUGUUAUGUCUUUCAUUUGAAUGACAUUCAUAAAGACUAUAUUAUUGACAUGGUAAAGUUGAUUCAUUGUUAGAACUUUUUGUAAGUAUUUUUAUUGUAAAUUUUUAUGUAUUGUAAGGUCUUAUAAAUCCUUUUUGUUAAUGACACUCAAGAUAGAGUAAAAUAUAUUUUGUUCUUGAACUGAUUGAACAAACAAAGGAAGACCAAUAUAAACAUGACUUUUAAGAGUCCAUGUAGUUAUUACCAAAGUCAUCCUAGUUAUUAAGACCGAUGUCAUCCUAGUUAUUACCAAAGUCCAUGUAUUUGUAGCAUAUGUAAAAGGGACUUUUAAGAGUCUUCUCUCGUUAUAAUGAGAUUUAUACAACUUUGGGAUUUGAAUUGAUAUUGAUAACUAUUGGAGAAGAAAACCUAAAGGGUUUGUUUUGAAUUUGAAAAGAAUAAUUAUUCUAUGCUUGUCCAAUUAACAUUCUUUGAAAUUGGUUUGGCCCUCUCAAGAUUAAGAUAAAG
rnacentral:lncRNA from 1 species